UACGCAGGGGGCUAGCGUUGUUCGGAAUUACUGGGCGUAAAGCGUGCGCAGGCGGCUUCUCAAGUCAGGGGUGAAGGCCCAGAGCUCAACUCUGGAACUGCCUUUGAGACUGAGAGGCUUGAGUACGGGAGAGGUGAGUGGAAUUCCCAGUGUAGAGGUGAAAUUCGUAGAUAUUGGGAAGAACACCGGUGGCGAAGGCGGCUCACUGGCCCGUAACUGACGCUCAUGCACGACAGCGUGGGGAUCAAACAGG
rnacentral:rRNA from 1 species